rnacentral:tRNA from 1 species
GGCUUUAUAUUUACGGUGUAAUAUUAGAUUGCAAAUCUGAAGGGGUGAAUAUUAAUUUACUAAGGCUU